GGUGGCUACAGCUCCGACUGGACCCCUAGCCUGGGAACCUCCAUAUGCCACGGGAGUGGCCCAAAGAAAUAGAAAAAAAAAAAGGAAAAGAAAAAGAAUGUUUUGAUUUAUAUUCUAGUUUUGUGUAUUGACAUUGUGUUUACUGACUGAAACUCGCCUCCCAAAUAGUUCUUUGCCGCUGUUACAUUAUUAUAAACGUUAACCAAGUUAUUAAGGAAAAUAAUCUAAGCUUGUUUCUGAAGCUGAUUGCUGUAAUCCAUUUCUGGGCAAAUAUAUCAGAUGUCCCAUGAUAACCAGGGGAAUAUAUAUACAUUCUGGAAAAGUAUCAUUUAAAGGGUUGUCUCCAACCUAAGAUAUAAAAGCUUUCUUUUUAGGAAUUCUUAAGUGCCAUAUGCACAAGGAAAGUGAAGAAAAUUAACUCUUAAAUUUAUAUUUCUCACUCAAGAAGGGCCUCUACAUUGGAUUGGUCUAUAGAGUGAACUACUGACUUCAAACUCACCCUAAACCAAGGCCUUAAUAAGAAAAACACCAGUGCAGGGACAAAAAGAAGACAACAUCAGAAGCAGUCCACUAUCCCGAGACUGUCGCCUGACUCGCUCUAGGAACCUACCACGUCCAGUCCAGCGCCCCCAGCACUCGUCGCCCCUAGCCAGCAGGAAGUAGCUACAGAAGAGAGGACCGUCGCCCCAUUCCAUUUAAAAAAGGCUGGAAUGAUAGGUUCCCAGGAAGAUGGAGACAGGACCCCUGACCCCUCCCCUCCGCCCCAAUGUGACUGUUCACCUUGGAGACCUGCUGUGGAUGUCGGUACCGCCCAGCACAAGGUCGACACCCUUUCCCGGACUAUGGAGCCUAGAUUCACCACCUACAAGGAUUAACUGUCCUCCGUCUCGGCCGUCUCGGGACUCCAUUGUUGUUUGAGAAUCCAAAUUAUUUCUUUUAUUUGUCCCUGUAUUUGUAAUUUCUCUUUUUUUGUGCAGUCUACAGAAUUGGCUUGAUCCAUAGAAACCAAAUGAACGCCCUGCAAUCAAAAUUUACUGUGGCUGUUCUUAUACAACAAAUAAGUGGAAAUGGGAGGAGAUGUUGGAAACCACUGAACUGCUGAAUUCUGCUGAUGCAGACUUCUGAAAGGUCACCUUUACAGACAAGAUAAGGGCGUUUUUCCUAAACCAUGCUCUUCACUAAGCAGCCACUAUGCCCUAGAGGCAGGCACCAGUGUUAAUAGUUUCCUUUGUUAUUCACUAAGAGGUAGCUUUGUCAUUGCCUGUGCUUGAUUUUGUUAAUUCACCUACAUACUUUCCUUAAUAAAAGGCGUGUGGGCUAAA